AUGCACUUAUCUGUUAAUGCCUUGUCUGGAGCUGAUCACCUUAAAACCAUUCGCCUGCGAGCUCUGAUUGGCAACCAAGUGGUGUUAAUCCUUUUGGACUCGGGAAGCACUCAUAGCUUUAUGGACUCAGCUCUGCUUCCUAGAAUUCAAGUAACACCUCAGCCGCUUCCCAAGGAAAUAGCUAUCACAGUAGCUAAUGGAGAGAAAUUAGUAUGCAGUUCAGAGGUACCACAGUUAAAUUGGUGGAUACAAGGGCAGACAUUUGAAUAUGACUUUAAGGUCAUUGAUUUGGGAGGAUAUGAUCUGAUCUUAGGAAUGGAUUGGUUGGAAAUGCAAGGAGAAAUGAUGUGCCACAGGAAGGACAAAUGGAUACAAUUCAAUCACAAAGACAAUUUGGUUAAAACUGCAAGGAAUUACUGCCACUCCCACCUCUGA
rnacentral:rRNA from 1 species